GUGAACUUGCAAUCGCUGCGGUAUCGCGUAGGGAAUUUACAGCGAUGAAUUCUGCAGCUCCUGCUGUGUCAUCAACUGCCUCACGCGCCACGUUGAGACCUAGUUUAGUGAGAGAGUGUUCGCAUUGAGCUAGGGCUUGUGGAUGUGAGAUUACUCGGGUCAAGUACUCUUUUCGGAUCCCAGGGAGAGCGAGGAGGCAGUGAUGAACGGGGAGCUGAACCUCACCGACGAUGUGGAGGCGGUGACGGAGGAGGAGGUCGUAGUUACGUUAUUCGAGUCGGGGCGACCCGGUUUAGGGAGAGUAUGUGGUUGAGAUUAAGAGUGGUAGAAUACGAAGGUGAAAGAGAGUGCAUAUUUGUUUGUGAAAAUUGGGUUAAUAAGCUUCGAGUUCUUUUUUAAGAAGGAACUUAAAGCUUAGAAAAAAGGGAGGAUGAUGAAGGGGUUUAAAUAUUAGAGUGGGGGUUGGUAGAGGAAAUGGUACAGCUACCCUCCUAUAAUACAUGAAUCAUACUUUAGCUUAAAACGUAUUUUCCUAAAAUAUUAUUAUUUUUUGGGUUGCGUAUAUGUAUAUUAAUUUUGCACACAAUAAUCGUAUAAGUUUUAUAUAAUGUUAUUAUAUUAUACAUUAUUCAUAUUUAAUCAUUAAGUCUAAUAUCGAUACACUGUUAAUAUAAAGAUUUAUACACAGUCAACGUAUCAUUCACGAUUCAUUUGUAGUACUUUUAAAUAGUCAAUAAUAAUUAAAUAUGAAUGAUGGAU